rnacentral:tRNA from 17 species
GGAAGAUGCCGCUCAGUGGUGGGCGAACCGGUUUGAACCCGGUGGUGCUGGUAACGGUAGGGGUUCGACUCCUCCAUCUUCCGCCA